rnacentral:rRNA from 1 species
UACGGAGGGUGCAAGCGUUAUCCGGAUUCACUGGGUUUAAAGGGCGCGUAGGCGGCCUUCUAAGUCGAACGUGAAAUCCCUGGGCUCAACCCAGGAACUGCGUCCGAUACUGGAAGGCUUGAAUCCGGGAGAGGGAUGCGGAAUUCCAGGUGUAGCGGUGAAAUGCGUAGAUAUUGGGAGGAACACCUGCGGCGAAGGCGGCUACCUGGACAGAAACUGACGCUGAGGCGCGAAAGCUAGGGGAGCGAACGGG